GACGAACGCUGGCGGCGUGCUUAACACAUGCAAGUCGAACGGAAAGGCCCUGCUUUUGUGGGGUGCUCGAGUGGCGAACGGGUGAGUAACACGUGAGUAACCUGCCCUUGACUUUGGGAUAACUUCAGGAAACUGGGGCUAAUACCGGAUAGGAGCUCCUGCUGCAUGGUGGGGGUUGGAAAGUUUCGGCGGUUGGGGAUGGACUCGCGGCUUAUCAGCUUGUUGGUGGGGUAGUGGCUUACCAAGGCUUUGACGGGUAGCCGGCCUGAGAGGGUGACCGGCCACAUUGGGACGGAGAUACGGCCCAGACUGCUACGGGAGGCAGCAGUGGGGAAUAAUGAACAAUGGGCGGAAGCCUGAUGCAGCAACGCCGCGUGCGGGAUGACGGCCUUCGGGUUGUAAACCGCUUUCGCCUGUGACGAAGCGUGAGUGACGGUAAUGGGUAAAGAAGCACCGGCUAACUACGU
rnacentral:rRNA from 1 species